rnacentral:rRNA from 1 species
ACGGAAGGCAGCAGUGGGGAAUAUUGCACAAUGGGCGAAAGCCUGAUGCAGCGACGCCGCGUGAAGGAUGAAGUAUUUCGGUAUGUAAACUUCUAUCAGCAGGGAAGAAAUGACGGUACCUGACUAAGAAGCCCCGGCUAACUACGUGCCAGCAGCCGCGGUAAUACGUAGGGGGCAAGCGUUAUCCGGAUUUACUGGGUGUAAAGGGAGCGUAGACGGCGAUGCAAGCCAGAUGUGAAAGCCCGGGGCUCAACCCCGGGACUGCAUUUGGAACUGUAUUGCUAGAGUCUCGGAGGGGCAAGCGGAAUUCCUAGUGUAGCGGUGAAAUGCGUAGAUAUUAGGAGGAACACCAGUGGCGAAGGCGGCUUGCUGGACGAGGACUGACGUUCAGGCUCGAAAGCGUGGGGAGCAAACAGGAUUAGAUACCCUGGUA